UACGAAGGGUGCAAGCGUUAAUCGGAAUUACUGGGCGUAAAGCGUGCGCAGGCGGCUUUGCAAGACAGAUGUGAAAUCCCCGGGCUUAACCUGGGAACUGCAUUUGUGACUGCAUGGCUCGAGUGCGGCAGAGGGGGAUGGAAUUCCGCGUGUAGCAGUGAAAUGCGUAGAUAUGCGGAGGAACACCGAUGGCGAAGGCAAUCCCCUGGGCCUGCACUGACGCUCAUGCACGAAAGCGUGGGGAGCAAACAGG
rnacentral:rRNA from 1 species